rnacentral:rRNA from 1 species
GACAGAGGGUGGCAAACGUUGUUCGGAAUUACUGGGCGUAAAGCGAGUGUAGGCGGUUUCCUAAGUCAGGCUGUGAAAGACCCCGGGCCUCGAACCCGGGAAGCUGGCACUUGAAACUGGGAGGCUAGAGUAUCGGAGAGGUUGGUGGAAUUCUCGGGUAGUAGAGGUGAGAUUCGUAAGAUAUCGAGAGGAACACGGUGGCGAAGG